rnacentral:rRNA from 2 species
UGCUGGAGGUAUCAGAAGUGCGAAUGCUGACAUAAGUAACGAUAAAGCGGGUGAAAAGCCCGCUCGCCGGAAGACCAAGGGUUCCUGUCCAACGUUAAUCGGGGCAGGGUGAGUCGACCCCUAAGGCGAGGCCGAAAGGCGUAGUCGAUGGGAAACGGGUUAAUAUUCCCGUACUUGGUGUUACUGCGAAGGGGGGACGGAGAAGGCUAUGUUGGCCGGGCGACGGUUGUCCCGGUUUAAGCGUGUAGGUGUGUGUUCCAGGUAAAUCCGGUUCACUUUAACACUGAGGCGUGACGACGAGGCACUACGGUGCUGAAGCAACAAAUGCCCUGCUUCCAGGAAAAGCCUCUAAGCAUCAGGUAACAUCAAAUCGUACCCCAAACCGACACAGGUGGUCAGGUAGAGAAUACCAAGGCGCUUGAGAGAACUCGGGUGAAGGAACUAGGCAAAAUGGUGCCGUAACUUCGGGAGAAGGCACGCUGACACGUAGGUGAAGUGAUUUACUCAUGGAGCUGAAGUCAGUCGAAGAUACCAGCUGGCUGCAACUGUUUAUUAAAAACACAGCACUGUGCAAACACGAAAGUGGACGUAUACGGUGUGACGCCUGCCCGGUGCCGGAAGGUUAAUUGAUGGGGUCAGCGCAAGCGAAGCUCCUGAUCGAAGCCCCGGUAAACGGCGGCCGUAACUAUAACGGUCCUAAGGUAGCGAAAUUCCUUGUCGGGUAAGUUCCGACCUGCACGAAUGGCGUAAUGAUGGCCAGGCUGUCUCCACCCGAGACUCAGUGAAAUUGAACUCGCUGUGAAGAUGCAGUGUACCCGCGGCAAGACGGAAAGACCCCGUGAACCUUUACUAUAGCUUGACACUGAACAUUGAGCCUUGAUGUGUAGGAUAGGUGGGAGGCUUUGAAGUGUGGACGCCAGUCUGCAUGGAGCCGACCUUGAAAUACCACCCUUUAAUGUUUGAUGUUCUAACGUGGACCCGUAAUCCGGGUUGCGGACAGUGUCUGGUGGGUAGUUUGACUGGGGCGGUCUCCUCCUAAAGAGUAACGGAGGAGCACGAAGGUUGGCUAAUCCUGGUCGGACAUCAGGAGGUUAGUGCAAUGGCAUAAGCCAGCUUGACUGCGAGCGUGACGGCGCGAGCAGGUGCGAAAGCAGGUCAUAGUGAUCCGGUGGUUCUGAAUGGAAGGGCCAUCGCUCAACGGAUAAAAGGUACUCCGGGGAUAACAGGCUGAUACCGCCCAAGAGUUCAUAUCGACGGCGGUGUUUGGCACCUCGAUGUCGGCUCAUCACAUCCUGGGGCUGAAGUAGGUCCCAAGGGUAUGGCUGUUCGCCAUUUAAAGUGGUACGCGAGCUGGGUUUAGAACGUCGUGAGACAGUUCGGUCCCUAUCUGCCGUGGGCGCUGGAGAACUGAGGGGGGCUGCUCCUAGUACGAGAGGACCGGAGUGGACGCAUCACUGGUGUUCGGGUUGUCAUGCCAAUGGCACUGCCCGGUAGCUAAAUGCGGAAGAGAUAAGUGCUGAAAGCAUCUAAGCACGAAACUUGCCCCGAGAUGAGUUCUCCCUGAGACUUAAAGUCUCCUGAAGGAACGUUGAAGACGACGACGUUGAUAGGCCGGGUGUGUAAGCGCAGCGAUGCGUUGAGCUAACCGGUACUAAUGAACCGUGAGGCUUAACCUU